GACGAGGAGCUUGCUCCUCUGACGUUAGCGGCGGACGGGUGAGUAACACGUGGAUAACCUACCUAUAAGACUGGGAUAACUUCGGGAAACCGGAGCUAAUACCGGAUAAUAUAUUGAACCGCAUGGUUCAAUAGUGAAAGACGGUUUUGCUGUCACUUAUAGAUGGAUCCGCGCCGCAUUAGCUAGUUGGUAAGGUAACGGCUUACCAAGGCAACGAUGCGUAGCCGACCUGAGAGGGUGAUCGGCCACACUGGAACUGAGACACGGUCCAGACUCCUACGGGAGGCAGCAGUAGGGAAUCUUCCGCAAUGGGCGAAAGCCUGACGGAGCAACGCCGCGUGAGUGAUGAAGGUCUUCGGAUCGUAAAACUCUGUUAUUAGGGAAGAACAAAUGUGUAAGUAACUAUGCACGUCUUGACGGUACCUAAUCAGAAAGCCACGGCUAACUACGUGCCAGCAGCCGCGGUAAUACGUAGGUGGCAAGCGUUAUCCGGAAUUAUUGGGCGUAAAGCGCGCGUAGGCGGUUUUUUAAGUCUGAUGUGAAAGCCCACGGCUCAACCGUGGAGGGUCAUUGGAAACUGGAAAACUUGAGUGCAGAAGAGGAAAGUGGAAUUCCAUGUGUAGCGGUGAAAUGCGCAGAGAUAUGGAGGAACACCAGUGGCGAAGGCGACUUUCUGGUCUGUAACUGACGCUGAUGUGCGAAAGCGUGGGGAUCAAACAGGAUUAGAUACCCUGGUAGUCCACGCCGUAAACGAUGAGUGCUAAGUGUUAGGGGGGUUUCCGCCCCUUAGUGCUGCAGCUAACGCAUUAAGCACUCCGCCUGGGGAGUACGACCGCAAGGUUGAAACUCAAAGGAAUUGACGGGGGACCCGCACAAGCGGUGGGAGCAUGUG
rnacentral:rRNA from 1 species